rnacentral:rRNA from 1 species
GAUGAACGCUGGCGGCGUGCCUAACACAUGCAAGUCGAGCGUGAACCCUGCGAAUGAAACUUCGGUCGUAUUUGCGAGGGGGAAGCGGCGGACGGGUGAGUAACGCGUAGGUAACCUGCCCCAUACUGAGGGAUAGCCUCGGGAAACCGGGAUUAAUACCUCAUAACACCGUAUAUUCGCAUGGAUGUGCGGUCAAAGAUUUAUCGGUAUGGGAUGGGCCUGCGUCUGAUUAGCUGGUUGGUGGGGUAACGGCCUACCAAGGCGACGAUCAGUAGCCGACCUGAGAGGGUGAUCGGCCACAUUGGAACUGAGACACGGUCCAAACUCCUACGGGAGGCAGCAGUGGGGAAUAUUGCACAAUGGGCGAAAGCCUGAUGCAGCAACGCCGCGUGAGCGAAGAAGGCCUUUGGGUCGUAAAGCUCUGUCGGGUAGGAAGAUAAUGACGGUACUACCCGAGGAAGCCCCGGCUAACUACGUG